UUUUUUCAAGGAGGACCUACUUCUUCUCUUUUUCUCAGCCCCUCCUUGCGUCAUCCAUCCAGAAUCAAUGUUGAUUUUUUUCAAGGGGGACCUACUUUCUUUUAAUUUGGCCCCCCUUGAUUUUUUUUACUUGCUCCGCCCCUGCUCAACGGGGUCUUACUCUGCAACUGGCCUGAGUUCGACGUAUUGCUAUGAUUCUUAAUUUAAAAUUUACUCAAAGUGGCUGUGUUGAAUGAUUGAUAUUUGUAAAAGUUUUGUUUUGGGAGCCUUUAUACUUUUUGAUAUUUAAAUAAAUAUUUUUUGAGAGAAAAUAUCAUGUUAUUGUCGAGAGGUAUUCUUCUCAGCAAAAUCUAUAAAAUUAAAAAAUAAGUUUGGGAUUUAAUUGAUAAUAAUAGGGUAAACCAUUAAGGCCUAAACUGAGGUUUCUCCGAAGAAAAACUCAUGAAGAUACGAUAGCCUUCGGCUACAUGAAUUCAUUAUUCAAGUGAGAAGCAUUGCAUUACAGGCUGGUCUAAGCCGGGUCUGGCCUGAUAAAUCAAGUGUUUUGAGCUCCGGCUUUGGUCAUUGGAGCCCACCUCCAGCCCACAUUAUGUUCUUAAUUACUUCAGGCGUGCUCAAUAUUUAUCCGUGAAUUUACUUAUUUGUUUUUUUUAAGAAAAAAGGAAAAUCUCAAAGCAUAACUGGAGAAGGAAAAGGGGAAAAUAGUUCACUUCAAUUCAAACAGUAGCCCACAACAGGAGUUUUCUCUGCCGUUUCCUUCUGGUAAUCAAUUCUAAACAAUUUCUCCUCACUUUUUUUUUUUUUUAUCUUUUUUAAAUUUAUCAGCUCGGAAAGUGCCUGGAGACUUAAUUGAAGAUCUUCUCUGUGGAAAUCCUAAUCGGUACUGCUACAACGUUGGGAUUUUUACUUGCUUCCUCAUCUUCUGUGUAAUAUUUGGCUAUUAUCAUGCUUAUCAUAUCAAAUCUCUGGGAGUGGUGAACAAUGGGUGGGUUUCUUUUGCCACUAUCUAGCUUAAUUACCCCACAAAUUUUGCACAGAUUCAGAUUAGAGACUGGAGGUUCCUUUUGAUUAGGAAAACAUGUGGCUGUAAUAAGUCUCUUUUUUCAUUAUUCUUGGAAUUCUCUAUCUGCAUGCUUCAACUAUUCAAAGCUUGGCUGCUUCUUUGAAUUAACUAUUCUCCAUUGGAAUUGUGAACCUCCACUGCCAUGCAAGUCUUCAUCAAUUAGAUUGAACUUGCCUUUAUCUUGCAUAACGUUAUUCCACUUUUUUGCUAGUGUGUUGACUGUUGAGAAAUAUGAACACCUUAUGGAUGCAAUAUUCAUGGAGAAUACCUAGGGUGUUUUCCUCUCUUCAUGUGCAUUUUGGUAUCAAAUUAUCAAUGCUUGGUAUUGGAUGGAGUUCUAUACACAGCAUAGAUAAAUAAAUCAAGAUUUAAAAUUUAAUACCAGCAAUACUUGUACUUUAUACAACUUAAUUAUUUUUCUGUCUAUGUUUACCUUUUUCCAGUGAUCUCUUCACUACAUAAUCUUGUAGUUUGUGGUAGUUAUAAGUUGCUGCAUUUAUCACUAUAAAAAUGAUGAAUUGCAAGCUCUCUCUCAUUAUGUAUAUAGUGAUUGCUUGCUUUGUCUGUCUUGACCGUUGUGAGCACUGGUGUCAUGUGAUAGCUUUGCAGAGCAACCAAUGCCUGUGUUGCAUUUCUGAAGAGAAGUGUAUUUUUGAAAUUACACAAGCACACGCAUACUAAACCAUUCAUAAUUUCCUUUGCUCUUUUUUUUUUGUUUUCUCUGUUUUUUUUUCAAAGUUUUACAACUUUUCUUCCCAUUUGAUGAUGAUGAUGAUGAUGCCUGCACAUAAACAACAGAAUAUAUGUUAUGUAAUUUUCCAGUUUAGCAUUAGUCACUGGAGCAAAUUCUGAAACGAGAAUAAAGUAUUGGCGUAGAAGAAGCGUACAAUUGGUGAUAGAUAGUUAACCCAGUGGGUCCUCGUUAAUAGAGAAGAUAAUCACGAAUCUCUCACACUCGAUGUAGAUAUUUUGGUAUUUAUUGAAGCAAGGUCUUUUGAGCUUAGCUGUAUGCUGCCUGAGUGGUUAGCCAUCAUUACAAUUUCGUGGAGGAAGUGAGGUCUUAUCUCUUCCCCUAUCUCUCUGACUCACUUUCUCACGCGUCACACACCAACGGGACUUGUGAAUGAGAAGACUUAAAAGAGCGGGAGAAAACAAAUGGAAGGGGAAGGGAGAAGGAAAGAGGUGGAACAGGAACUUGUGUAAGCAGGAAUUAACCAUGUGGUGAAAAUCAAACAUGAAGACGUGGGCCUCCAAGUACAAAACAUAUUUGCAGUUUUAGGGCACAAAUUGAUAAUACCAGCGAAGUUUCACAUUAUAUAGAGGUUCCGGGUCUUGACUACUGAGAAAACAUUGCACCCUGAAGUUUGUAAUUUUGUGACAAUCAUCUAAGGGAAUUAGCUCCAUUCUGCUUCUGGGUUAAGCAUAACUUCAGCUGCAGUCCCUCCCAAUGAUAUGCCUGUCGUCACCACGAGGCUCUGAUUCACAUACGUUGAAUUUUGCUAAAAAACGGUGGGAAUUUAUUUUCCAGGCAGAAACUCCGGUACCGGGCAACCCCUUGCUUUACUUCACGGUAAAUUUGAUUUCACUUCAAAGUCCACAGCUCCGUGAGAUAGGUGGGAUUAACUUUAAUUGGCAGUGUCGGUACCUCACUUUUAUCUCAUGGAGAAUCAAGUUUCAAACAUCAUCUACAGAAUAACAGGAUCUUCUUAUAUUCUUCUUUGGAGAUGGAUUGAGACUGAAUUUGGACGGGAGGAAAAGACCCCAUUUGCUAACACUUUUUCACGCUGGCGCAUUGAAGGUACUAUUGUCGUCUUGCCUGCCAAUCGGUUCAAGGGCCCCCCGCAAAAGUUCAAAGCUCACACGCUCUUCUUUCUUUGCUUGACGUGGUUCUCUAAUCUCCAUUGCUUGAACGUUACCAUUGAAAACGCCUGGCAGCCUUGUUAAGUGGCAAUGCCUUGCAGUGCAAGUAAUAUAUCAGCCUGUUUUAAGAGACUUAAUUCA